UUUCCGUAGGUGAACCUGCGGAAGGAUCAUUAUUGUAUAACCGAUGUUCGAUGUCUUUCCCUGACCCGAACGGUCGUUCACGCCCCAGUUCCCUCCCACACAUCCAUCUCACCCCUAUGUGCACCACUGCCCGGGUCCCCCUUUGCCUUUUUCGGACCGGCGCUUACUUUUUCACCCAUACUUUUUUUGCACUGUAGUAAGUCUUUUUUGUUUUUGCCUUUACGCUAUCAAUUCCACUUUCAACAACGGAUCUCUUGGCUCUCCCAUCGAUUACUAACU
rnacentral:misc_RNA from 1 species